CCUACGGGUGGCAGCAGUCGAGGAUCUUCGGCAAUGGGCGCAAGCCUGACCGAGCGACGCGGCGUGUGGGAUGAAGGCCCUCGGGUUGUAAACCACUGUCAGAGGGGAUGAAGUGCCAUGGGGUUCUCUUCAUGGUUUGACAUAUCCUCAGAGGAAGGACGGGCUAAGUUCGUGCCAGCAGCCGCGGUAAGACGAACCGUCCAAACGUUAUUCGGAAUCACUGGGCUUGACGGGUGCAUAAGCUGCGCGAGAAAGCCCUCGGCUUAACCGAGGAAUUGCGCUCAAAACUGCCGUGCUUGAGGGAGAUAGAGGUGAGCGGAACUUAGGGUGGAGCGGUGAAAUGCGUUGAUAUCCUAAGGAACACCUGGGGCGAAAGCGGCUCACUGGAUCUUUUCUGACGCUGAUGCACGAAAGCUAGGGUAGCGAACGGGAUUAGAUACCCCAGUAGUC
rnacentral:rRNA from 1 species